AACGAACGCUGGCGGCAUGCCUAACACAUGCAAGUCGAACGAGACCUUCGGGUCUAGUGGCGCACGGGUGCGUAACGCGUGGGAACCUGCCCUUAGGUUCGGAAUAACUCCCCGAGAGGGGUGCUAAUACCGGAUAAUGUCUUCGGACCAAAGAUUUAUCGCCUUUGGAUGGGCCCGCGUUGGAUUAGCUAGUUGGUAGGGUAAAAGCCUACCAAGGCGACGAUCCAUAGCUGGUCUGAGAGGAUGAUCAGCCACACUGGGACUGAGACACGGCCCAGACUCCUACGGGAGGCAGCAGUGGGGAAUAUUGGACAAUGGGCGAAAGCCUGAUCCAGCAAUGCCGCGUGAGUGAUGAAGGUCUUAGGGUUGUAAAGCUCUUUUACCCGGGAUGAUAAUGACAGUACCGGGAGAAUAAGCUCCGGCUAACUCCGUG
rnacentral:rRNA from 1 species